rnacentral:rRNA from 1 species
AUGGCGAAAUAUUGGUGGAGCAGCUCACUUGAUAAACGGUCUUUGCACUGGAUAUCGUGGAAGUCGCUCGCAUCUCCAAAAAUUAAUGGCGGAAUGGGCUUCCGUGAUAUGGAACUCUUCAACAUUGCUCUCCUAGGGAAACAUGGUUGGAGGUUCAUGACCAGCCUAGACUCUUUAUGUGCUCGUGUUAUGAAGAGCAGGUACUUCCCAAAUACUGAUUUCAUGCAUGCAACAAUGUCGCAAUCAUCCUCUGCCAUAUGGAGAGCUAUUGUGGCUGGGCGGGAAGCUCUUCGAGCUGGUCUGAUUAUGCGUGUUGGGGAUGGCAGUUCCAUCUCUGUUUGGAAUGACAAGUGGAUCCCAGGUACAAUAUGCAUGUUCCCUAUGAUUAGGCCAGCCAAUUCUCUAAUCCAUUUUGUUCAGGAGUUAAUUGAUGAUGUAAAUUGGAGAUGGAAGGAUGAUCUAAUCCGUAACACUUUCCUAGCACCAGACGCAGAGGCUAUCUUAAACAUACCACUAUGCAAUGGGAGAGCUAACGUGCAGGAGGGGGGCAGCGGAGGCCGCGGCGGAGCUGCGGCAAGGCAGCGCGGCACAACGACGUGGUCGGCGUGCGGCGACAGGCGGCGCGAGCGCGCAAGCGAGAGAGAGAGAGAGGGAGAGAGACAGAGAGGCGCGGGCUCACGGUGGGGGUAG